UCGUUCCUUUUGUACAACCUUUACUAAAACGGUGCAGGCUGGAACCAAACCAUUUUGGAAAGAAAAAGGAAAAAAAAACAACAAAAAAGACAACACAUGUUUGACAAGGCACUGCAGCCAUGAGAAAUGUCCCAUUUUUUCUUUCACUAAAGCCUUAUUUACAAGAAAAUAAUAAUAAUAAUAAACAAAAGCUUGAUGUUGAUAAGUGAGAUGUUGGAGAGCUGGGCCGUGUGAGGCACGCUAUCUGAGCGUUCCCGCCGUGAACAGAAACGUGUCCCUGUGCGAACGCUAUCGUAACUAAUUAUGUCGAAUUUUUACGUACGCGAGGUUUGAAGUGGGAGCAAGAGCACAUCCGGUGUUAGUUUUCAAAUGGAGGACUUCCAUCAUCCUUGGAAGCUUAAGGGAUUAAAUGUACAGCGCCUGUCAGGUUGCUGAUCGAUAGAACAGAUUCAUGCAUCAGGAGCUUUUCUAGAAACUGAACGAUCCAAGUCCAAACACCAGACUUUCACUAGCUAGUGUGUUUACUAUACGAUUGAUCCUGGUUUCAGUUUUUUGAAGGGGUCCCAAACUGUAAAAACAAAUUACUCGAGCCUAUAAACUGUUCUUUUCAUUUCCUGACUCAGCUAAUGUCCCAAACAACUACUCCUGCUUGCUGUUAUGUCAACUUUAGGAUUCAUUGUCAUUUUCUUCCAGGACACGCCCACAUUUCAUUAGCAAGAAUUUCAGAAUUCUGAUGUUGGUAUUUCGAUUUGGAAAUUUGGGGGUUUUUUUGGUACUUGUCGUACUGGUUGUAUUUUUUUCUGAUAGCAGCUAAUCAUCAAAGCCUAAAAAGCUUUUUUAAUUUCCUUACCUAGCUAGAGUGCUGGACAUUGCUUAAUUUCCAUAUCUUUAAAUUUUGAUAUACAAGUCAUUAAUUUGUUUAUUCUGCGUAUCAGUAACUUCUAACGCCAUAUAGUAUAAAUUCAGCUCAAGGUCAGAUUCCAGUGUUCACAUUAGCAAAUGGUGGAAAAAGACCUCAAAUGGCUGUUUGGCAAUAAAGCAAUUUUUACACACAUUAGUGUGUUCAUUUAUAGCAAUUUAUGUUUAUCUCGGGUUUUUCCUACUAACUAUAAAGACUGGCUACACUAAAAAAUUAAAAAAUUAAAUCUAAACAGGCCACGCCCACAAAGGAAAUAGACUGAAGUAGGUUUUUGCUUGCUAGUGUAAACACAGGCUCAUGUUAGGUAGCUGUGUCUUCCCAUAAUGCACUGUUUUAACACUGAGAACUGGCAUCGAGGUGCAUGUUGGCUUGUGGAGUCAAACCAAGCCUUCCAGAUAAUUAGAGAUCACCAGACGAUCUCCAGACUGUCAGCAGACGAUCACCAGAUGCUCAACAAAUGCAGGCUAUGAAGGACUAAUCCAUGAUGGGUGGGUAUGAAAGCCUUCCAGCCCGGCGCGUUCACGUCUCGCGCAACGCCGCGACGCGCGCGCACGAGGCGCGGCGAAAGAAACAAACACGCGAGGAGAGCGGCCCUGCCCCACGCCGAUCGGUGAUGCUGCGACGUGUCGAUGUUGCCAUAGAGAUCGGACCUAGUCUUAUUUUUUUUUUUUUUCACCAAAAAAAUGAAUAAUUUGUAGUAGUAAUAAUAUUAUUAUUAGAUUGAAUUAUAAUAAUGAUAAUGAUGAUGAUGAUGAUUAUUAUAAUAAAAGAUCACCCGAGCGCGCGCCAAAGCAAACAGAGCGGUGAGGGAGGCUAAAAAUAACGGCAUCUAGUGUCUGUUCAUUCUCUAUGCGCU